CAGCUGACUGUCAGCUGGGACGGGCUGGCUUAACCCUUCCUGCGCCGCUGCCUACCCGGGAGGGAACGAGGCCCGGCGCAAAGUUUGGUAUUUUAAAGCGAUAGGCAAGUCGAAGAAGCAGAGAUUUAUUUGGAGAGAAAGCUCCUGAAACCGACCCAGCCUUUGGAAGACCAGCCCGUCUGCUUAGAAGUUGGGACUGUUGAUUCCUUCAAUUAAUGAAAUGCAUUUGGUGUUUUUAAUCGUAUUUAUUUUACUUUAUGAGAAGGGGGAGACGCUAGGAGGGUGCAUUAAAAAAAAAAAAAAAUUCUGAAAAGCCUGCAAAAGGAUCGAAGAGUGGAAACUAUUGUUGGAGCGAGUUGGUUUUUACCUCAACAGCGCCACCUUUCGGCAAAGGUUUCUUCCUUGGAAAACAAUAUACAUCACUUAAUGAAAUCUUUGUUUGUUUUGCACAAGAGAUGUAAAAAAUCCAGAUGUUUUCUUCAGUGAGAAUUCCUGGGAAGGUGUACCAGCCUUCUUCUCUUUCUUCACCUGACAAAGACACCCAACACGGCCUCUCAGACCGGAGGUGUUUAAUAUAUAGUUUUGACACGCAUGAACAUGGGAAUGAAAGGGCUCCUUUUGGUUUUAGACAAUAGACAGAGCUAUAAAAUGAUGAUGGAGCCUGUUUUCCCCACUCUUGUCAUUUUAAGUCAAUAGAUUUCCUGGGUUUCUUCCCCCGCCCCCCCACUUUGCCUUUUCAGGGGAUAGGCAUCUCCUUAGAUUUUUGUUUUUCUUCACUUAGGGUCAGCUUUAUGAUUCGUUCUUCUGCUGUCAUCCUUUUUCAUCCUAUUCACAGCCUGUACCGGUGAGGGAAUUUGUCUCAAAAGCAUUCAGCCCUUCAAAGAUUUUUAUUGUGGUGAACUCAGAACUGAUAAACAGAAAAACAGAAACAGAAAAAGGGAACUGAUAUGGGGGCGAUCUUGAUGCGGGUUGUGUCUCUCAUGCAUGAUAACUCAGAGGACAGGCUCCUCGGUAGUGCGGUAGUGCUAACUCUGUGAAGUUUCUUCACCCUCCUUCCUAGCCCUGGAGGCGGGGUGAUUCAUAGCUCCUGUUCCAAAGGCAUUCAGCAGCCAUUCGACCUGGGAAAGAAACAGAGUUUUAGAAAAUACAGGCCAAAUGUAGAGACGCCUGUGAUUACCAGGAUGAGUAUGUCAGUGCAGGUGGCUUCUGAAUUUCUGUUUCUGAGUUUGUUUGGCUGAUGCCUAAGGAAAGGGGUCCCUUACAGCCCUGUUUUAUACCUUAGUUCUUGGUGGCAACGUGGGUGUUGCUGAUCUCUCUGAUGUGUUUUUCUGUGCACUGAAAACACCAGACAUGCUCCGUGACAUCCUCGGAGCAUCUCCCAUCAUAAUGGAGUGUUCCUAACCUGACAAAGAAUAGCAUAUUACCUCCCCAUCUACUCAAAAUAAAAUUAUAGUAAAAUUUA
rnacentral:lncRNA from 1 species